rnacentral:rRNA from 1 species
UGGGGAAUAUUGCACAAUGGGCGCAAGCCUGAUGCAGCCAUGCCGCGUGUAUGAAGAAGGCCUUCGGGUUGUAAAGUACUUUCAGUCGGGAGGAAGGUGUCAAGGUUAAUAACCUUGGCAAUUGACGUUACCGACAGAAGAAGCACCGGCUAACUCCGUGCCAGCAGCCGCGGUAAUACGGAGGGUGCAAGCGUUAAUCGGAAUUACUGGGCGUAAAGCGCACGCAGGCGGUUGAUUGAGUCAGAUGUGAAAUCCCCGGGCUUAACCCGGGAAUUGCAUCUGAUACUGGUCAGCUAGAGUCGUGUAGAGGGGGGUAGAAUUCCAUGUGUAGCGGUGAAAUGCGUAGAGAUGUGGGGGAAUACCGGUGGCGAAGGCGGCCCCCUGGACAAAGACUGACGCUCAGGUGCGAAAGCGUGGGGAGCAAACAGG